AAAAAAAAAAGGAAUAAAAGACUAAGAAGAAAUAUAAGAGGAAGAGAGACUGACGCGACAGGGCGGACGACGCAGAGAAGACGGAAGCAGAGGCGCAGCAGAAGCAAAAGAAGUCAGGAGCAGAAGAGGAACCAAAAACGGGUGUUUUAUUUCUUGUUAUUUUUUUAUGGAUAAUUUCUUAUGUAUGAACAUAAUUAUGUGUAACUAAUUUUAUUAUGCUAGAGUAAGGCCAUGAGCCGCAACAUGAAUACGUAGAUUUAUUUUCAAUUGCUUAAGUAUUGUUACAUGCUUGCUUUGAUAUUUUCAAUCACCGAAUUAAACUAUCUAUGUACCUUGAUGCUUGAUCACCAUUAGGAUGCUUAGAAAAAGUUAUCGGAUGCAAUUUUGAACGAAUGUCACGUUAAAAUUGGUUGUGCUUCUUGUGAUUGAGGAUUGUAUUCUCCUAAGGUAAAUAUCAUGCUCUUAGGGAUUAUAUGGUUUAACAAAAGGAUUUUCACCAAGAUUAAUGAAUCACUCAUGUUUAUAUUUAAUCCAAAUGUCAUGGAUAAGUUGCAUGUAGUGGUAUGCGUUUUAGCUUGAAUGUCACAAGUAAAACAUACACAAGGAAAAUCCAACCUUCAAAGCAUAUGUGUUUUCAAUUAUUUAAGCAAUUGGAAUAGCUACGUAGGAGUGUUGUUGGUAAAGGUUGAACUCUAGCAUAUUGUCAAUCUAUUUUUCUUCAAUCAUUUAUUUUAUCUUGAAUUUCCUUAUUUGCUUGUUUUGUUUAAGUUGAAUCAUUAUUCCUAUAAAUCAAUUCCUAUUUUAGAUAUUUGUUUAAUUCACAUUCAGUAAUAUUUAGUUUCGUCAAAUUAGUGUAAUUCUUAGAGUUAAAUAAGUUAAUUACACAAAAACUCGUAAAUUGUUUAUAUCAGUCCCUGAGGAGAUCGACCUUGCUUGAGCCAUUCUAUACUACAAACACUUGUUCUCUUGCAAGAAUUUUCUAUGGUUUAACCCCUUGUUUUCCAAGUGGUAAAAUCGUUAUCAAGAAAUUGGCGCCGUUGCCAGGGACUGUGCCAACAGUUCCCGAGUUUUUGUGUUUAUUUUUCUUAUACUUAUGUUUAUGUCUUAUUUUUAUUAAUCAUUAAAAAAAAUUAAUUUAAAAAAAAAAAAUUAUUUAAAGAAUCCUUCUUGAUUAACUUUGGUACCGUAAUAAUGUUGUAUAUUUGCGUUAGAAAUCUGUUUAUGUAUCCCUUUCACAAAUUUCUGUUUUAAAUCACAUAUUAUUAAAAAAAAAAUUUAUUAUUUAAAGUUAUAAAAAAAAAAAAAACAGCUAUUAAUUUAGUGAGUUUUGAUCUUUUAUUAAGUGUAGUGGAUGUGUGGUGUGAGAUUUUUGUUUUCGUUUAAUUAACUAGUGGUUGCCAAUUUGCAUAAUUUGUGUUUUUAAUUCAUCUAGGUUUACUUACUUUCUUUUUCUUUUUGUUUUUGUUGUUUAGUUAGUUUCUGUUAAGUUUUAUUUUAUUUUACUUUUAUUUUUUAUUGUGGCUUAAUAUUUCUAUUGUUUGUUCAGGUGUAGUAUAUGGUGAUUGGAACAAGGUCCAAGAAUCAAGUGCUUAUUCCUUAUGACCUUGAACCAGAGAGAAGUGCAAGGAAGUUAGCUAGAGAAAAAUAUUUAGCACAAGAUUCCAACCUUGGUGAUACUUUUCUUAAGGAUUUGUUCCGUGAUCCUGAGAGCGGCACAUCUAUUUUCCAACCUUUUGAUACCAGUUGCACACAUGGCCCUAGCCUUACCUGCAGCAGGUCAACCUUUAAGGAAUUCAUUGGCGGCGAGAAUCAAUGCAGUGCCGAGGUGCAUUAUAUAUCCAGAUGUGGAAGAUGGGACAUCCUUUGAAAUCAAACCUCACAUCCUCAACAUAUUGCCCUCCUUUCAUGGGUUGCCAAACAGUGAUCCCAACAUGCAUUUGGUUGAUUUUAUUGAGGCAUGUGACAACACCAUAAUCAGAGGUUUCUCUUCUGAAGCUAUCAAGUUACGUUUGUUCCCGUUCUCUUUGAAGGACAAAGCCAAGGCAUGGCUGCAUUCUCUGCCUGCCAAUAGCAUUACAACAUGGAUAGAAUUGCAAGAAAAAUUUCUCAAUAAGUUUUUUCCUUCUUCCAAGACGCUUGCACUCAAGAAAGAGAUAUUGGCUUUCGCUCAAAAGCCGAACGAGUCUUUCCAUGAAGCUUGGGAACGGUAUAAUGAGAUGUACACAAAAUGUCCUCAUGCUGGGUUUGAUUCUAACCUUCAAAUGAACAUAUUUUAUGAUGGUCUCAAUGCCACCACCAAGAGUCACGUGAAUGCAUCUGCUGGAGGGUCAUUAAUGUCAAAAUCAGCAAGGGAAGCAUUUGAGUUGUUUGAUAUGAUGGCUUCUGAAUCCCAACAAUGGACAGAAGAACAAACACAAAAGAGGGGAGUUUUUGAGAUUUCUCAUAGUUAUCCUAAUGUUUCUGCUCAAAUUGCUAAAAUGGAAAAUAAUUUUAAUGCCAAAUUUGCUGCCUUAAUGCAGGUAUCUUCCAUGCCCAAUGCCCAAGAAGCGUGCAUCAUUUGUAGUGCAACAACUCAUGACAUCACUCAAUGCCCCAACAAGGAUAGCUAUCCUGAGCUUGUGCAAGAGCAUGUGAAUAUGGUGAAUAAUUUCACUAGACCCAAAAGUGACCCUUAUUCCAAUACAUAUAAUCCUGGGUGGAAGAACCAUCCCAAUCUCAGUUGGGGUGGCAACCAACAGCCACGUCAAUACCAACAGUCUUACCAAUCAACUAGUGAGACUAAGAAACCAUCUCUUGAAGACCAAAUGUCACAGCUAGCUCAACAUAUGUCCGCUCUCUCUACUAGCACCAACAGUUUUGUCCAAUCCACACAAACUAGCAUUCAGAAUCUCACGGCAUCAGUGGGGAAUUUGGAGACUCAAGUUGGACAGCUUGCUACCAUGUUCAAUGAAAGAGAGAAAGGAAAGUUUCCAAGCCAAUCUGAGCAAAAUCCAAAAGGGAUGGAGCAUUGCAAAGUAAUACGGACAUUGAAAAGUGGCAAGAGCUAUGACAACAGAGAAGUGGAGCACCAUGAAGCCGAAGUGGAAGAAGAAGAGCUUACUGAAAGUGCGCCAUUAGCUGCAAAGUCUCGGUCAGAGGCUAUUUCUGAAGCAAGUAUUCCAGAUCCUAGUGCAAGUGACAAUGUGCAAUCUCGACGCAACUCUGAUGCAAACAAGGAAAAAGGCCUUGGUAUUUUAUUUGCACCUUCUGAUAAGCCACCAUACAAGCCACCUUUGCCAUUUCCACAAAGGCAGCAACAACGUUCCAAGGAUCAACAAUGCAUUGAAUUCAUGAAGACGUUGGCUAAGGUUCAAAUUAAUUUGCCUCUAUUAGAUGCUAUUAAACAGAUCCCAUCAUAUGCCAAAUUUCUGAAGGAGCUAUGUUCUAAAAAGAAAAAGUUCUUGGAAUACGAGAAGGUGAUUUUAUCUGAGCAAUGCAGUGCUGUCCUCUUACAUAAGCUACCACCCAAGAAGAAAGAUCCGGGGAGUUUCACUAUCUCUUGUACUAUUGGUAGUCUUGAUUUUCAUAAAGUAUUGAUUGAUUUAGGAGCAAGUGUUAACCUUAUGCCUUAUUCUGUUUUUCAAAAAUUAGGUGAAGGAGAACUCAAGCCCACAUCUGUGAGUCUUCAAUUGGCAGAUAGGUCCGUGACCUAUCCUUUGGGUAUUUUGGAAGAUGUGAUUAUUAAGGUGGAUAAAUUCUAUCUCCCAGCUGAUUUCAUUGUACUUGACAUGGAGGAAGACAAGGAAGUGCCUCUCAUUUUAGGCCGACCAUUCAUGGCCACCGCCCGGACACUUAUUGAUGUGGAAGCAGGUACUUUAACCUUAAGAAUGCAAGGAGAAUCAGUUGUAUUCAAACUCUUUGAAGCUGUCAAGCGUCCUUUCGAACAUGAAGAAUGUUUUCGUGUUGAUGUUUUGGAUGGGAUUGUGCAUGCAAACUUUGCCUCACGAUCAUCUAAUGAUAAGCUGUUAACUUGCCUCACCAACCAUGAUGCUACUUUAUCUAUGGAAGAAAAUGUGGUGGACGUCAUUGCUGCAUUAGAUAGUGCACCAAUUCAUAAUCCAAAGUGGCGACAUGUUUAUGAAAGCUUUGGAGUGCCUAAGCAGCCUCUUUUUCCUUCAAGUGAGCAAGCUCCAAAGUUACAGCUCAAGCUACUGCCUAGCCACCUCAAGUAUGCUCAUCUCGGGGUGAAUGAGACAUUGCCUGUUAUUAUUGCUGCUGAUCUUAAUGACACGAAGGAAGACAAAUUACUAAGAGUUCUUCGCAAGUAUCAAGAUGCUCUGGGGUGGACACUUGCUGACAUAAAAGGUAUUAGUCCAGCAUUGUGCAUGCAUAGGAUUUUUAUGGAGGCUGGGACUAAGCCAACUGUUGAAGCUCAAAGACGUCUAAAUCCGAUCAUGAAGGAAGUUGUAAGAGUUGAGGUGAUGAAGUUACUCGAUGCAGGUAUCAUUUAUCCAAUCUCGGAUAGCAAAUGGGUGAGCCCGACUCAGGUGGUUCCAAAGAAAACUGGUAUUACUGUGGUGAAGAAUGUGAGAUCUUUCUUGGGAGCACUCACACUAGAAUUUACACCAUUGCCGGAUCACUUCAAGUAUCACCUUCCAUUCGAAGAUCACUUCCAUGCCAUGGAACCUAGGGGAAUGUAACUGGAGGCAUCGUCCGGCUGCAAGACGUUAAAGAAAGCGCUUCUUGGGAGGCAACCCAAGCUUUCUAUCUUUCAUCUUUAUUUUGAAUAAUUUUAAAUUUUCUUGUUCUGUUUUUCUCUUGCUUUUUUUUGGUUUUUGUGUUUAAGUCCUACUUGUGUUCCUUUAUGCAGGUAAUGAUUUUGCAAUAUCUACCACAACUUCUUGCAACAUUUUUUUUUCAUUCAUAAAAAAAAAAGGGAAAGGAACAUUGAGCAGAUAAAAAAAAAAAAAAAGCUUCGAAGGAGAAGCUUUCACAUAGGCUGCGAAGGAGGAGCUUCAGUAGUCGGCGGAGCCUCAGCAGUCGGCAGGGCCACAGAAGGAGGAGGUAUCGGAGGUUGAUCAGUUGGAGCUUCACUACGCGGUGCCGCCCCAGAAGACGAAGGCAGAUGCUGUUGGAAUAAACCCACAAACCUCCGAUGAUCAAGUAAAAUCUGACCAUCAGAUUCAUGUAUCUGGUCAAUUUUCCUCUUCAUGGUUGUGGCAUAGUUGUGUGCAAGCUUGUGCAAUUGUUUAUUUUCAUGCUUGAGUCCUCUAAUCUCCUCUUUGAGACUCAUUACUUCAGCCGCCAACGACUCAACUUGACGGGUUCGAGCAAAGAGGCGUUGGGCCAUGUUAGACACAGAACCCGCACACUGCACGCUAAGUGCCAGAGACUCCUUCACAGCCAACUCAUCAGAUCGUCUAGAGAGCAGUCUGUUAUCUCUAGGAGUGACAAGGUUCCGGGCCACCACCGCAGCUGUCAUGUCAUUUUUCAUCACCGAAUCCCCAACGGUAAGAGGACCGGUAGGGGAUAUGAAGGAUGGGCGCCAUAUGUUAUCUGGUGAAGGCGGAGCUGCCUCUUCACCAAGAUUCAAGUCAAAACGACGGUCGGAAGGGCCAGACAUUUUUCAAAGGUGUUAAAGAAAGAAGAGGUCGGACAAGUCAAGAUCGUAGAAGUGCAAAGAGGGAGUUUUUGAAGGCAGAAAUUCAAGUGUGCUUUGAACGUCCUGCAUACCUCUAUAAAAAUCAGCACGCGAUGGGGUUUCGGAGAUCGAAGAGGCAAGUCCAGAUAUCGAAGAGGCCAACUAAAAAAAUCAAAGCGGCGUUCGCUUUCUCAAAAGCUGAGCUUGCUCAGAAACCACGGGUCAUCCUUUGUUCCAGAUUUGUCCGUACUCGUCACAUGCAACCUCUGCACUCGACGGAGCUCAGAUUUCGAAGAGGCAAGCUCGGAAAUCGGAGAGGAAUCUGCUUUUCCAGACGUGUCAGCAUCUCUCACACUACUGCUCUCCUCGCUUACACAAAUUGGUGUGUUCUUUCCUUUUCUUUUUGUGUCUUUAUUUCAUUUUAUAUUUCUUUCCUUCCAUUUUUAUGUCUUAUUGUUAAAAAAAAUUCCUUUCAUUAUCAUUGGGGACAAUGCUAUAAUUAAGUUUGGGGGUGGAAAUAUAUUUCGUUAGUUUAUUUAUUAAAUUUUAAAAAUAAAAAAAAAAAAAAAGUUUUUGCAUUUUUAUUGUUGUUUGUAGCUACUUCUCAAUUCAAUGAUGAGAUUUGAUUUAAUUUCCUUCUUACUUUCAAGAAGUCUAAGUUCUUUUCGUUGUCUUUGUGUUAGCUGUGAUUUCCAAAAAUCAACUUGAAAAUUAAAUGUGUCUAGUCUUGUCAAUGUGAAACUUGAGCAUGAUUUAGCGUUUCAUAUGUGAAUCAUGUGAGAUUAUGUAAACCUUGUGAGUUUUUGAGCCUAUACAUGAUUGAACCAUUAUGCAUCAAUCACAUUCCUUCUUGUGCGUAUGAUCUCACUGUACAUGUAUCUCUAGAACUUGCUUUAUACUACUCGAUUCAUUAAUCAAUUCAUGUAAUAACUGGGAAGUGAUAUAGGCCAUCUUUGGAUCGUUUGAGCCUUUCAUGCCUACCUUAUAUGCUAUGUUUAUCCGUAGUAGCCCAUUGAGCCUUUAACUAAACCAUUUUUUUGUUAGCCACAUCUCUUUACCUUGCUCCAAGAUUGGAGUUGAGCCCAUACACAAAAAUUGAUUCCUUAUUGUUUUGAGAAAGUAUUACAUGGGUUGUGCUUUUGGGAGUUCAUUUAUGUAGAAAGAUGGAUGGAGCAUGUGUAUUAUAAUGACAUGUGAAUUUGAUGGGUGAUGUAGCUUUUGCAGAUUUGUUUCUCUCAUUGAAAAAAAAAAAAAAAAAAACAAAAAAAAAAAAAAAAAAAAAAAAAGAGAGAAAAAAAAAAUGAAAUAUAUGAAAAUUGGAGAGUGUUGAUUUGUUGAAAAUGUGUCGGUAGAGUAUAAAUUUCAUUUUAAAGUUAAAUUUGGGGAGUAACAGGUGCUCGAGGUUUUAUUAUUUUGCUUUCAAUUUGAGGUGGUGUGAUAUUGAGGUGUUGGAAAACUACCAAAGUGUACUUUCUCAAAAUUUUUGAUUUCCAUAUCCUCUCUUUCAUUAGCCUAUCACCUUUAGCCCCAUUACAACCGUAAUAAAGUCCUAUUGAUCCAAGGUAUUACUUAAAUAUUGAUGAGCGAGUUAGGUGGACAAGCAAGCAUAUGGCGGCAUGUACAAUGAGAUCACUUGAGUGAAACACAUUAACCAAAACUUAUGAGUGAAUGAGCGUAUGUCUUGUGAGAAGCUCACAUGUUUGCAUAUGAUGAUUUAAAGGAGUUUGGAAUUGCAUUGACAUGGCUAGCUCACACAUGGUUUUUCAACGUUUUGUUUGAAGGAAAUUUGGUUAAUUAUUGGAUGAUGUUUUGAGCUCUUGAUUAAUUCUUGGUUGUUUGUUUCAUGAUUAGCACUUAUCUCUGAAAUCUUAAUUGAGAAGUUGGCUACUAAGUUGUUGAAUCUAGUCUUAGUUGAGUGGUUUUGUUUUGCUAGAGGACUAGCAAAAAUGUAAGUUUAGGGGUAUUUGAUCACUCAUAUAUUUCAUGCAUUUAUACCAUCCAUUUCUAAAGUCUUUGUGAUGUUUUUGUGUUAAAAUUGUAGCAUUUUACCUUACCUUGUGUUAAUGUGCAGUUAAUUUUGUUUUAGGAUCAAAGAAAUAAAAAAAAAGAAAAUAAAAGAAAUAGAAUACAGAAAGAAGUGGAGGACACACUGGCAUAAAGAAAACAAGAAGGGAGUGCAGCACUGACAGAAUAAAAGAAUGAGGAGUGGGAGAGCACGGCAUGAAUAAACAAAGGGAAAAGUGGGUUGAUGGGGGAGACACUGAAAAGAAAAGAAAUAAAAAGAAACGGAGAGACAGAGAGAUAAGGGAGAUAAGAAAAAAAAAAGGAAUAAAAGACUAAGAAGGAAAUAUAAGAGGAAGAGAGACUGACGCGACAGGGCGGACGACGCAGAGAAGACGGAAGCAGAGGCGCAGCAGAAGCAAAAGAAGUCAGGAGCAGAAGAGGAACCAAAAACGGGUGUUUUAUUUCUUGUUAUUUUUUUAUGGAUAAUUUCUUAUGUAUGAACAUAAUUAUGUGUAAUUAAUUUUAUUAUGCUAGAGUAAGGCCAUGAGCCGCAACAUGAAUACGUAGAUUUAUUUUCAAUUGCUUAAGUAUUGUUACAUGCUUGCUUUGAUAUUUUCAAUCACCGAAUUAAACUAUCUAUGUACCUUGAUGCUUGAUCACCAUUAGGAUGCUUAGAAAAGUUAUCGGAUGCAAUUUUGAACGAAUGUCACGUUAAAAUUGGUUGUGCUUCUUGUGAUUGAGGAUUGUAUUCUCCUAAGGUAAAUAUCAUGCUCUUAGGGAUUAUAUGGUUUAACAAAAGGAUUUUCACCAAGAUUAAUGAAUCACUCAUGUUUAUAUUUAAUCCAAAUGUCAUGGAUAAGUUGCAUGUAGUGGUAUGCGUUUUAGCUUGAAUGUCACAAGUAAAACAUACACAAGGAAAAUCCAACCUUCAAAGCAUAUGUGUUUUCAAUUAUUUAAGCAAUUGGAAUAGCUACGUAGGAGUGUUGUUGGUAAAGGUUGAACUCUAGCAUAUUGUCAAUCUAUUUUUCUUCAAUCAUUUAUUUUAUCUUGAAUUUCCUUAUUUGCUUGUUUUGUUUAAGUUGAAUCAUUAUUCCUAUAAAUCAAUUCCUAUUUUAGAUAUUUGUUUAAUUCACAUUCAGUAAUAUUUAGUUUCGUCAAAUUAGUAUAAUUCUUAGAGUUAAAUAAGUUAAUUACACAAAAACUCGUAAAUUGUUUAUAUCAAUCCCUGAGGAGAUCGACCUUGCUUGAGCCAUUCUAUACUACAAACACUUGUUCUCUUGCAAGAAUUUUCUAUGGUUUAACUCUUGUUUUCCAAGUGGUAAAAUCGUUAUCAAGAAAUCGUUAUCAGUUACAAAUUUCUC
rnacentral:lncRNA from 1 species